rnacentral:tRNA from 1 species
GCAUCUGUAGCCUAGUUGGUAAAGGAAGCACUCUUGUAUGUGACUCAACAUUGCUGAAGUUGUGAGUUCAAAUCUCACCAGGCACA